UGGGGAAUAUUGGACAAUGGGCGAAAGCCUGAUCCAGCCAUGCCGCGUGUGUGAAGAAGGUCUUCGGAUUGUAAAGCACUUUAAGUUGGGAGGAAGGGCAGUAAGCGAAUACCUUGCUGUUUUGACGUUACCGACAGAAUAAGCACCGGCUAACUCUGUGCCAGCAGCCGCGGUAAUACAGAGGGUGCAAGCGUUAAUCGGAAUUACUGGGCUUAAAGCGCGCGUAGGUGGUUCGUUAAGUUGAAUGUGAAAGCCCCGGGCUCAACCUGGGAACUGCAUCCAAAACUGGCGAGCUAGAGUAGGGCAGAGGGUGGUGGAAUUUCCUGUGUAGCGGUGAAAUGCGUAGAUAUAGGAAGGAACACCAGUGGCGAAGGCGACCACCUGGGCUCAUACUGACACUGAGGUGCGAAAGCGUGGGGAGCAAACAGG
rnacentral:rRNA from 1 species